rnacentral:rRNA from 1 species
UACGUAGGGUCCGAGCGUUAAUCGGAAUUACUGGGCGUAAAGCGUGCGCAGGCGGUUUUGUAAGCCAGUCGUGAAAUCCCCGGGCUUAACCUGGGAAUGGCGAUUGGGACUGCAAGGCUCGAGUGCGGCAGAGGGGGGUGGAAUUCCACGUGUAGCAGUGAAAUGCGUAGAUAUGUGGAGGAACAUCAAUGGCGAAGGCAGCCCCCUGGGUCGACACUGACGCUCAUGCACGAAAGCGUGGGGAGCAAACAGGAUUAGAUACCCUGGUAGUCCACGCCCUAAACUAUGUCAACUAGUUGUUGGAGGAUGAACUCCUUUAGUAACGCAGCUAACGCGUGAAGUUGACCGCCUGGGGAGUACGGUCGCAAGAUUA